ensembl:lncRNA
CCACAUUCCUGACUGCUCCAACAAGAGGCGAGCCCUGCUCCUGGCAGACCUGAUCCUCUGCAUUGCAUUGUGCCAAGCAAAGUCCAGCAGCGGCAGCACAUCGGAGCUGGUGCAGAACGGGGCCAAACCAGUGUUGGUAAGGGGCCCCCUUUGCAGGCUGCUGGGUUAGCUGGAAAAUUCCUGAGCCCAGACCUCCUGCUUUUCAAGCCUGAAAAUACAGUGAAAAUGAAUACAGCCACUAUUAAUGAUUACUUUUCAAAGGCCAAACUCCUACCAAGGUCGUCUAAGAACGCUCAGAGGCAGCAGCUGAAGUUUUUCACAAUUCAAGGACAGCAGAGACAAGUACAAAACUAACUGAGCAGAGGGAGCCAGGCAGCACACAGGAGGCAGACCUCACCGAUGUAGGGAGAAUCCUUGACAAUACAGGCAGCUAACAGGAACGCACAGAGCUGUGCUACCCGUGGAAAGAUCCAGCCUCACACAAAAAAAUGAUCCCUGAGCCACCACAAUGCCUGUUGCACUCUCCUGGCAUCAGCAGGCAGAUGAAGCAUGUAAAGGCAG